rnacentral:rRNA from 1 species
AACGCGAAGAACCUUACCUACUCUUGACAUCCAGAGAACUUAGCAGAGAUGCUUUGGUGCCUUCGGGAACUCUGAGACAGGUGCUGCAUGGCUGUCGUCAGCUCGUGUUGUGAAAUGUUGGGUUAAGUCCCGCAACGAGCGCAACCCUUAUCCUUUGUUGCCAGCGGUUAGGCCGGGAACUCAAAGGAGACUGCCAGUGAUAAACUGGAGGAAGGUGGGGAUGACGUCAAGUCAUCAUGGCCCUUACGAGUAGGGCUACACACGUGCUACAAUGGCAUAUACAAAGAGAAGCGACCUCGCGAGAGCAAGCGGACCUCAUAAAGUAUGUCGUAGUCCGGAUUGGAGUCUGCAACUCGACUCCAUGAAGUCGGAAUCGCUAGUAAUCGUGGAUCAGAAUGCCACGGUGAAUACGUUCCCGGGUCUUGUACACACCG